GGCAUCGGUGGUGCAACUGGUUAAGCACGCGCCCCCGGAAAGGAUGAAAUGCGGGUUCGAAUCCCACUUGACGUCA